rnacentral:rRNA from 2 species
UUAUUUGAAACAGGAUACAACCUCCACCACCGGGUAAACAAGGGUAGUCAAAACUAAGUGGGCCUAAAAGCAGCCACCUUCCGAAAAGCGUCAAAGCUUAUCUACUCCAACCCACAAUUUCUAAAAUACUCCAUAACCCUUCAUUCCUACUGACCCCUUUUAUACUAUUAUAAAAAUAAUUAUGCUAGAACUAGUAACAAGAAGUCGCCCUUCUCCCUAAUGUAAGUAUAAACCAAAACGGACCUUCCAUUGGUAAUUAACGUAAAUGCAAACCCCAUAACAACAUAACCAGAAAACCUUAUGGCCCCCCACGUUACCCUAACACUAGAACAUUACAGGAAAGAUUAAAAGAGAAAGAAGGAACUCGGCAAAUUUUAACCCCGCCUGUUUACCAAAAACAUCGCCUCUUGAUUAAACAUAGGAGGUCCAGCCUGCCCAGUGACAAAAUUCAACGGCCGCGGUACACUAACCGUGCGAAGGUAGCAUAAUCAUUUGUUCUUUAAAUAAGGACUAGUAUCAACGGCAUCACGAGGGUUAUACUGUCUCCUAUCUCUAAUCAGUGAAACUGAUCCCCCCGUGAAGAAGCGGGGAUUUAGCU